rnacentral:lncRNA from 1 species
UUUACUCUGAUGCUUUUACAAAUGUUCCAUUUUCAAAGAGAUUUGUGAAAAAGGCUUUGAGAAGUACUCUGAAAUACAGGUGUUGAUAAUUUUAAGAUCAUAACAGUGAACUGGGUGGGAAUUUUUGGAAAUUGAGUGGAGGACUGAUUACUUUGAAGUUUUGUUUUCCAGAUUUAAAGGACCCCCUUUUCUCCUCUCCUUUAAGCUAUCUGUAACUUAACAGCCGUUUCAUAAAGUGUAUCUUUGCAACAAGGGUUGCAACAUUUAUCUUUUUCUCUCGCCUGAUUCCUCUAGAAUUUGGAAGUUCUUAAGUGUUCUUUUUCAUGACAAUGUUUGGUUAUAUGCCUGAAAGCUGGACUGGAUCCUAAAUUCUUCUAAUUUCCUUAAAUGGCUGUGAUGAGCCAAACUGAAAUUUCCAAUUUUACUGCCCUUGAAAUCUCCUUGGAAGGGACUAUAUCGAGUCUUCCUCACUACCCUGGUGGCAGCCAAACUUGAGAGACUUGAGCCUUUGGUACACACCUCACAGAUAAAGAAGGCUCCACCUGUCAUGAAAUCCUGUACAAAUGCUGGAGAUCUCCAAAUCAAAUUGACUAGGAAGAGAAGCAGUGACAUCUGAGGCAGACAGCUUUCCAAGAUGACUGGAGCAGGUUGACACCUACAUAUAUAUAUACAUUCCUUGAGAUACUGCAGAAAACCAAAAAUGAAUCCAAUAAAGAAAAGAACAUGAGAAGCUG